rnacentral:rRNA from 1 species
CACGCAGUAAACGAUGCACACUAGGUGGUGGGUGGUAGCACUCAGUACCGGAGCGAACGCGUUAAGUGUGCCGCCUGGGGAGUAUGCUCGCAAGGGUGAAACUCAAAGGAAUUGACGGGGGCCCGCACAAGCGGUGGAGCAUGUGGUUUAAUUCGAUGGUACGCGAGGAACCUUACCCGGGUUUGACAUGAGCCGGAAUGGGCGUGAAAGCGCCCAGCCCUUCGGGGCCGGCCCACAGGUGC